AGAGAGGACGCCGUGGCGCCCGGGUGCAAGGCCAGCGGGCGCGGCAGCCGCGUCACCCACCUCCUGGGGUACCCGACGCAGAACGUCAGCCGCUCCCUGCGCCGCAAGUACGCGCCUCCCCCCUGCGGCGGCCCCGAGGACGUGGCCCUGGCGCCCUGCACCGCCGCCGCCGCCUGCGAAGCGGGCCCCUCCCCGGUCUACGUCAAGGUCAAGAGCGCGGAGCCGGCUGACUGCGCCGAGGGGCCGGUGCAGUGCAAGAACGGCCUCUUGCUCCAGCCCACACUGUGAAGAGCCUUGUGCCCACAGCUGUGCACAUCCUGGGCUUCCUCCACACCUUGUCCAUAAACUGCCCCUCAGCUACCUUCAGACCCAGGAUACAGAGGCCCUUCCUUCAGGCUGCAUGCAGAACAGAUGCAGGUAGCCAUGAAGCCAAAUCUGGAAGGAGAUGAUGCUUCCUCUGAAGAUCAGAGAACAGAUGCAAAAACUAUUGCUCAAGGAAAAUAAAGUGAAAACGAGGAAAAGCAAAAGAAGAUCUGGAGAGGGCUCUCACCUGACCACAAGCAUCCUGGAGCAAUGAGUUUCAGGCAGGAAG
rnacentral:lncRNA from 1 species